rnacentral:tRNA from 1 species
UUAAAUUUUAUAUAAAAAGAGGGGCGGAUGUAGCCAAGUGGAUCAAGGCAGUGGAUUGU